GGGAACAAGCGAAACUGUCUUGGAGUUAGACUUUUAAUCUGUUGGUCGUCCGUUCGAACCGGACACGGCCCACCA
rnacentral:tRNA from 1 species